UGGGGAAUUUUGGACAAUGGGCGAAAGCCUGAUCCAGCAAUGCCGCGUGUGUGAAGAAGGCCUUCGGGUUGUAAAGCACUUUUGUCCGGAAAGAAAUCCUUGGCUCUAAUACAGUCGGGGGAUGACGGUACCGGAAGAAUAAGCACCGGCUAACUACGUGCCAGCAGCCGCGGUAAUACGUAGGGUGCAAGCGUUAAUCGGAAUUACUGGGCGUAAAGCGUGCGCAGGCGGUUUGCUAAGACCGAUGUGAAAUCCCCGGGCUCAACCUGGGAACUGCAUUGGUGACUGGCAGGCUAGAGUAUGGCAGAGGGGGGUAGAAUUCCACGUGUAGCAGUGAAAAUGCGUAGAGAUGUGGAGGAAUACCGAUGGCGAAGGCAGCCCCCUGGGCCAAUACUGACGCUCAUGCACGAAAGCGUGGGGAGCAAACAGGAUUAGAUACCCUGGUAGUCCACGCCCUAAAACGAUGUCAACUAGUUGUUGGGGAUUCAUUUCCUUAGUAACGUAGCUAACGCGUGAAGUUGACCGCCUGGGGAGUACGGUCGCAAGAUUAAAACUCAAAUGAAUUGACGGGGUCAUAGCUGUUUCCU
rnacentral:rRNA from 1 species